UUGGAGGGCAAGUCUGGUGCCAGCAGCCGUGGUAAUUCCAGCUCCAAUAGCGUAUAUUAAAGUUGUUGCAGUUAAAAAGCUCGUAGUUGAAUUUCGGGGUUAGUAGGUUGGUCAUGCCUCUGGUAUGUACUGGUCUCACUGAUUCCUCCUUCCUGAUGAGCCGUAAUGCCAUUAAUUUGGUGUUGCGGGGAAUUUGGACUGUUACUUUGAAAAAAUUAGAGUGUUUAAAGCAAGCUAACGCUUGAAUACAUUAGCAUGGAAUAAUGAAAUAGGACGUUCGAUCCUAUUUUGUUGGUUUCUAGGAUUGACGUAAUGAUUAAUAGGGAUAGUUGGGGGCAUUAGUAUUCAAUUGUCAGAGGUGAAAUUCUUGGAUUUAUUGAAGACUAACUACUGCGAAAGCAUUUGCCAAGGAUGUUUUCAUUAAUCAAGAACGAAAGUUAGGGGAUCGAAGACGAUCAGAUACCGUCGUAGUCUUAACCAUAAACUAUGCCGACUAGGGAUCGGAUGAUGUUAAUUUUUUAAUGACUCAUUCGGCGCCUUACGGGAAAC
rnacentral:rRNA from 1 species